rnacentral:rRNA from 1 species
UACAGAGGUCUCAAGCGUUGUUCGGAUUCAUUGGGCGUAAAGGGUGUGUAGGUGGCUCGCUAAGUCGGGUGUGAAAUUUCGGAGCUUAACUCCGAAACUGCAUUCGAUACUGGCGUGCUUGAGGACUGGAGAGGAGACUGGAAUUCAUGGUGUAGCAGUGAAAUGCGUAGAUAUCGUAAGGAAGACCAGUGGCGAAGGCGGGUCUCUGGACAGUUACUGACGCUGAGGCACGAAGGCCAGGGGAGCAAACGGG